AAAGAAUUAGUUAAAAAAUAACAUAAAUAUGUCAAAUUUAAAUUAUUAAAUAAAUUAAUAUUCUUUG
rnacentral:tRNA from 1 species